ACUCUUCCCAAGGUACUCCAGCGCCUGUAUUUUCAGAAUUAUCAAUACUGGUAUGCUGACAAUCCAAUGGUGCAUAGAGUAACAAUAGCUACUAACUUUAUUCAACAAAGAAAAAAAUAGCUACUAUUAAGUGCAACAGUAAAAAAUAAGACAGCAUAUCCAAGCCUAAGAAAAAAUUGGUCUCUAUUUUACAUGAAGAUAAUUGGUUACUGUCUCAGAACUGGGCAAUUAAUGAAUAAUCCUUCAAUUGGUUUUAUCCUUCAUGGUACAGAUAUAAAAAAUAAAAUAGGAAUGGACCAAAAAAACCGAAAAAAAAAAUUUCAGAAGGCAGUGAAGUUCGUUGAAAUCAAAAUGGAAAUAAAUUGCAAUCUCUUAAGUGCUUGGUUAAGAAUGAAAAUGUUCUCUUGCCACAGACUUCUCUGAUCUGAUCUUACAUAUACCCAGCAUGCAAAACCAUUUCAUAUCAAAAUAUUGAAAAACAAAAGGAAACGAUCUCAAAUUUUUGUAUUAAAACGUUGAAAAUUGAAACAAAAGGAACCUUCAUGUUUGCAGCGUAGGUUUCAACAUCGUCCAUGAUUAAAAAAAUAAUGUGCAGUGUGAGGUGCUUUGACUUUCUGAUAACAUUCAAGCAUUCAAAUUCUGUUUCCUAGCAGAAUAGAUAUAGAUGACAAAGAAGAAAGCCUAAAGUUCCUUGCAGUAGCUUUCAGCAUCAUGAGAUUAGUAUCAUCCAUCUAACACUUCCUACAUCAAAACUUGCACAGUUGUGUUAAGGCAAAAAUGCAUACAAACUUA
rnacentral:misc_RNA from 1 species